UUCCAGACUCCUACGGGAGGCAGCAGUGGGGAAUAUUGCACAAUGGGGGGAACCCUGAUGCGGCGACGCCGCGUGAGUGAAGAAGUAUUUCGGUAUGUAAAGCUCUAUCAGCAGGGAAGAAAAUGACGGUACCUGACUAAGAAGCCCCGGCUAACUACGUGCCAGCAGCCGCGGUAAUACGUAGGGGGCAAGCGUUAUCCGGAUUUACUGGGUGUAAAGGGAGCGUAGACGGCAGCGCAAGUCUGAAGUGAAAUCCCAUGGCUUAACCAUGGAACUGCUUUGGAAACUGUGCAGCUGGAGUGCAGGAGAGGUAAGCGGAAUUCCUAGUGUAGCGGUGAAAUGCGUAGAUAUUAGGAGGAACACCAGUGGCGAAGGCGGCUUACUGGACUGUAACUGACGUUGAGGCUCGAAAGCGUGGGGAGCAAACAGGAUUAGAUACCCGUGUACG
rnacentral:rRNA from 1 species